rnacentral:rRNA from 1 species
AUUGAACGCUGGCGGCAGGCCUAACACAUGCAAGUCGAACGAGUGGCGGACGGGUGAGUAAUGUCUGGGAAACUGCCUGAUGGAGGGGGAUAACUACUGGCAACGGUCGAUAAUACCGCAUAACAUCAGAUGUGCCCAGAUGGGAUUAGCUAGUAGGUGGGGUAAAGGCUCACCGAGGCGACCAGCCCUAGCUGGUCUGAGAGGAUGACCAGCCACACUGGAACUGAGACACGGUCCAGACUCCUACGGGAGGCAGCAGUGGGGAAUAUUCGACAAUGGGCGCAAGCCUGAUGCAGCCAUGCCGCGUGUAUGAAGAAGGCCUUCGGGUUGUAAAGUACUUUCAGCGGGGAGGCGUUACCCGCAGAAGAAGCAACGGCUAACUCCGUGCCAGCAGCCGCGGUAAUAC